rnacentral:misc_RNA from 1 species
GGAAAAACUCAUUAUGAAAAUUUAUUAAAACAUUUACUGUUAAGAUUGAUACGAGUAUUCAGGAAAGGUGCUUCACACUAAAAUCUCCAGGAAAAAGGGAAUAAGCAGUAUGGAAUGGUAUAGCUAGCCUAGGCCCUCUAAUUAUCAAAGCUUAUUAUUGUAAUUUUGGGUUUCUUUUGUUCCUAGUUUAUAAAAAGAAAACCCUACUCUCUAUAUGAAAAGGCCUUCAUAGUGAAAAAUCAC